rnacentral:lncRNA from 1 species
ACGUUUUAACAAAAGACAAUUAUGUAUUAUUUUUCAUAAAACCUAAUAAAUAAAUUAUAUUCCUAAAUAUCAUAUAACCAUAACUACAAUACCGUAUAGUCCAUACAUAUUCACCAAUAUGAAAGUUUUGAUCUUAUAAGUUAAUAUAUUCGUUUAUAACUUUUAUUUUUUUUUAAUCAUAAGAAUCAACAAGACUAGCAUAUGAUUGUGUAAAUUUUUUUGAUGAGUUAUGAACAAUUUUCAUAUGAAAGCUAAACAUGAGCUCAAAUAGAAUUUCAUAACCACGGUUUAAAAAUUAUUAAACUUAGUCUAAAAUAAAAGGGACACACACAUAGUGCUUUCAUAAUGAAAUUUACCAAAUAUAUAUAAAUACUUUGUUUUCCAACUCACAGCAUUUAGCAACUUAUUUCUUUUACAUAGUAGAAGCACCUUAUUUUAUUAGCCGCUGUAAUCCCAAACUAACUCUAUAAUCUAUUAGUUGUGGAAGUGUAAAUCAAUCAAUGAUGAAUCAGUUUAAAUUUGGAUUGAUGAAUCAGUUUAAAUUUGCAGAGACAUCAUAUGAUUGCUUCGCAACUGCCAGACAAGAUCUGCAAAUUAUGCUCAUCAAUGCUUUUAAAUAUGAUUGUCAUGCAAUAGAAGACAAGAUUCCUAUACUUGGCUGUUACAUGUUUUUCUAUAUAAUAGGAAAAUGAAAUUUGAUCUAACAGAGAGACAACUAGCACGUUUUUUUACCACUCAAAAGCCUUCGAGAUCUAAGUCUACCAUGUGAAGAUCAUCAAAAGUUGCUUAUGUUGAUCUUCUUUGAUCUGUACACAACUGGAAUCUUGACGAUUCCGUGUGCACAUAUGCAGAUGAUUCGUGCAAAUCAACAGACAGCGAAAGCAUUUUGAGUUACCUAAUGGGUGUGAAGAUUGAGUCUACCAUGCAUGUGAGUCUCCUUAAUUGGUAUUAUUCUAUCAUCUACCAAGCGACAAGUGGGAUCUUGACAACUUAAUUUAUGAGGUCUAUUUUUUGAAUUGCUUUGAAGUCCUUGUUGUUGGUAGUAUGUGUGUAAAACUUGAUCCAUAGGUUUUACAAUAAGAUUAAUUCUUUUGCUCUAAAUUUAAAAUUUAACCCAUUUAUAUG